CAGGACGCCUGGCUCGUCCGCCACGGUAGAGCUGUCGUCCCAGUCAUCGUCCCAGUCGUCGUCGCUGCCUUGGCUGGCUUGGCUGCCCAGGCUUUCUUUCUCCAAUUCAAGUUUGCAAGUUCCCUGUUCCUCAGGCAAGUUCACAGGAUUCCAAGUUAGAGAUGAAUGUAAGCUGACUCAGUUCACCCAAUGUGUUGUUGCAUCCUCUUAAAUGAAAAGCAUAAAAACUAAGGGCUUAAAAUGUAUAUAGGAGAAACUGUUGAUGAAGAAACUGUCCAAUACUAUCUAAUUAAGUAAUUUGAUUUUCAGGUAAAUGGAACAUAAUUAUGAAACUUGCAAAUUUUACUUUCUGUCUCAUGAUUUUAUUUAUUUAUUUGAUUUGUCAAUCGUUUGCAAGAUAAUAGGUAUAAGUAUAAACAUGAGUAAGAAUACAGAAAAUAGGUACGAA